GGCCCCCUCUUCCCCCUCCCAGUACUAGUUAAUUUUGAGUAAUUGCGUAUUGUCAGAAAAGUGAUUAGUACAAGUUUUUGUUUUGUUGCUUCAAAAUUUUUUUGUUUAAAAGCAAGGCAUGCUUGUGGAUGACUCUGUAACAGACUAAUUGGAAUUGUUGAAGCUGCUCCCUGGUUCCACUCUGGAGAGUAAUCUGGGAGAUCUUAGUGUGUGUGUGUGUGUGUGUGUGUGUGUGUGUCUCCUCUUUCUUUGGGAGGAGUGUGUGUGGGGUUUAUUUUUUAGUCCUUUUUUUUUUUUAAUUCAUUAACCAGUGGAUAGCCCUUAGGGGAGGAGGACGGAUUGAUUCCACAUUCCACUUCCUAGAUAUGGUUUAGAAAACAUGUUCCCCACCUGGGGCUCUCAGGAAGGAGUAUAGUAAAUGCCUCAUUUAAUAACAGACUCCUUUUUGAAAGUUGCCUUUUCUCUCCACCUUUGAGUAGAUCCAGUAUUUGAUGAAACUCAUGAAAGUGGGUGGAGCCUGUCUUGCCCCUCCUCUUUUCUAGGACACACUAUAUGUGACUGUGACUUUCAAAGACAUUUGUUUGCCAUUUGCUGAUUUUGGGGGGAAGUUAAUUUCUAACUUCUUUCACUAAUAAAUGAAGAAAAGUAUUGCACCUUUGAAAUGCACCAAAUGAAUUGAGUUUGUAAUUAAAAAUUUUUUUCCCUGUCAGUCAUUGUCUCACAUGCUUAGCAUCGAUUUGCAGCUCAGUAGUAUAUGGUGUUCCUAGAAUGCAGCUGAAGACCUGGUAUGUAGAGGAAAUACCAGGGGUGGUGCUAGAAGAUAGACAUCUGUGGAAUGAUUCACAUCCUUUCAUUAGGAGGAUAGAGGCCUUCUUCAUUAAGAAGCUGGGGGUGGGGAGAACACAUAACAACAUGGGGACCAGUCAGGGGAGUCCCCUUAUUUCUGUUUUGCAUAUGAGGAACCCUACAGCAGCCAGGUGAGGCUCUCUAGUUUAAUAAAAAUCAUGGAAAGAGUCUUUUUUUUUUUUUUUUUUUUG
rnacentral:lncRNA from 1 species